UACGUAGGACCCAAGCGUUAUCCGGAUUUACUGGGCGUAAAGAGUUGCGUAGGCGGUUAUAUAAGCGGUACGUGAAAUCGCGAGGCUCAACCUCGUGGCUAUGUACUGAACUGUAUAACUAGAGAAUGGAAGAGGUAACUGGAAUUUCAAGUGUAGGAGUGAAAUCCGUAGAUAUUUGAAGGAACACCAAUGGCGUAGGCAGGUUACUGGUCCAUUUCUGACGCUGAGGCACGAAAGCGUGGGGAGCGAACGGG
rnacentral:rRNA from 1 species